GCCGGGCGCAGUAGCCCACGCCUGUAAUCCCAGCAGCUCAGGAGGCUGAGGCAGGAGGAUCCCGAGUCCAAAGCCAGCCUCAG
rnacentral:sRNA from 1 species